rnacentral:sRNA from 1 species
GUGAUUGCCAUUACCUGACUGUAAGUGGUGAUUAUAGAGAGAGGGUUACUAUUUCUGGCUGCCCGGGAAGCCAUGGCGCUCCCCUGGUGUAAUUCUGGUCCAUCGUGACAUUCGCCCCUCACUUUUAAGCCAUGCCUAGAUGUGACUGCUGAGGCUCAGUGUGAUUAUCUUGGCAGAGCCCUGGCCAGUAUUACUUCAAACCCAUGAUGAAGGAGUUCCGGUUUGAGCCAUCCUCACAGAUGAUCGAGGUGCAGGAAGGCCAGAACCUGAAGAUCACCAUCACGGGGUACCGAACCGCUUACAGUUGCUAUGGCACAGUGUCUUCCUUAAACGGAGAGCCCGAACAAGGGGUUGCCGUGGAAGCGGUGGGCCAGAACGACUGCAGCAUUUACGGAGAAGACACCGUGACAGACGAAGAGGGCAAGUUCAGAUUACGUGGAUUGCUGCCGGGAUGUGUGUACCACGUUCAGCUCAAGGCAGAAGGCAACGACCACAUUGAGCGGGCACUCCCCCACCAUAGGGUGAUUGAGGUUGGGAAUAAUGACAUCGAUGAUGUAAACAUCAUAGUUUUCCGGCAGAUUAAUCAAUUUGAUUUAAGUGGAAAUGUGAUCACUUCCUCUGAAUACCUUCCUACAUUAUGGGUCAAGCUUUACAAAAGCGAAAACCUCGACAAUCCAAUCCAGACAGUUUCCCUUGGCCAGUCCCUGUUCUUCCAUUUCCCCCCGCUGCUCAGAGACGGCGAGAACUAUGUUGUGCUUCUGGACUCCACACUCCCCAGAUCCCAGUAUGACUACAUCUUGCCUCAAGUUUCUUUCACCGCA